rnacentral:piRNA from 1 species
GCAACACUUCAGUCAAGAAAAGUCUGCC